GCCCAGAUUCCAUCCCCUCUACGCCGCCGGCCCCUCUCUCUCGCCCAGAUCCCGCCCCAAUCCCGCGUCGCCGCUCCCUGCGCAGAGCCGCAGACUGCCGCAGGCAUCGCUGCCCUCCUUCGCCACCGGCCCCUUAGCCCACACCUCGCCUCUGCCGUGGCCGGGAUCAAUGGAUUGAUGGAUCCACCUCGUCUUCGACCGCGAUUGGGAUCGUGAUCCGCGGAUCCAUAUCUCCUCCUCGGCCGCCGAGCAUCUCCGCUUGGCGUCGUCCAGGCGCCGGAGGGGCGGGACCCGAGCGGGCGGCGAACAACUAGGAGCGCCUCGUGCAGGCCGCACCACCUCCGCGUCGGCGGGGCAGACGGGGGGCUGGGCCUAGCCGCUGCUGUGCCGGCCUUGCUCGGCCGGACCACCAACAUCAAGCAGAUCCUGCAGGCAGUCGACGACAUCGAGGCAACCCAAUCCCCACCAACUCAAUCUCCAGGGUUUGAGUUCGACAGCAGCAGCUGCUCCACCCCGGCCUCAAUUCCAACGAUCACGAGAGCUGCACAUCAUUAUAUUUGAGAAGAAAUAGUAUAACAAGACUCAUACAUAGAAGAGCCUUUAACAAUUCCUCAGGUGGUCUUCCAGGAAUGGACACAUUUUCUCUGCUAUGGAGCUCAAACUGAAGCAGCUUACUACGUCAAGUCUGAAACUAAAGUGCAUGAUCAUUGCACACGGUAAGGCAGCUUCAGAAUUACCCAUUUAUGUCACAUUUCAAAUGAAGCUCAAUUACAGUUGCUGGGAUAGAACUGGGCAUGGGAGAGCUACCAGGUGAUCCAUGUCCGUGUGUGGCUACAGACAACAAGGAGCAAAAAAUUGUUUUGGAGAGCUUUCUCUUUAAGUCCACAAGAUCGAAAUUGGACAGUUUGGAGAGUCUCAUUCAACCUUAAAUCAGCUCCUAGGCGUGAAACUAAAUAAUUGCAAGACCAGGCUUAAGAGCGUGUUUUUUUGUCUCUAAAUUUUUAAUUGAUUGAUGGCGAUGACUUGAUUGCUUCCAUCAGAACACUUUCUUCCUACUAUUUCUUGCCUAGAGUUUGAUUAUUUCUGUAUUGAAGGUAAAGACUCAGGAAUUAAGAGGAGGAGAUCACUGCAGGCAUCCACAAUCCAAGACAAAUAGGUGUCCAGUUCUCAUGAAGGUUAUGUCGUUUUUUUGUAUACUAAAAUGCACCGGUAUACGAGAUAGCUGCAUAUUGCACAAACUAGGAGGGUGCUUCACUUUCUUUGGUGUUCUGUUUUCAUGAUGUACACGGAAGCACGCUAAGCAAAAAUAUUAUAUAUAUUGUUUUUUU